rnacentral:rRNA from 1 species
AGUGAACGCUGGCGGUAGGCCUAACACAUGCAAGUCGAACGGCAGCACAGGAGAGCUUGCUCUCUGGGUGGCGAGUGGCGGACGGGUGAGGAAUACAUCGGAAUCUACUUUUUCGUGGGGGAUAACGUAGGGAAACUUACGCUAAUACCGCAUACGACCUACGGGUGAAAGCAGGGGACCUUCGGGCCUUGCGCGAUUGAAUGAGCCGAUGUCGGAUUAGCUAGUUGGCGGGGUAAAGGCCCACCAAGGCGACGCUCCGUAGCUGGUCUGAGAGGAUGAUCAGCCACACUGGAACUGAGACACGGUCCAGACUCCUACGGGAGGCAGCAGUGGGGAAUAUUGGACAAUGGGCGCAAGCCUGAUCCAGCCAUACCGCGUGGGUGAAGAAGGCCUUCGGGUUGUAAAGCCCUUUUGUUGGGAAAGAAAUCCAGCCGGCUAAUACCUGGUUGGGAUGACGGUACCCAAAGAAUAAGCACCGGCUAACUUCGUGCCAGCAGCCGCAGUAACAC